AUAAAAUCAGAGAAAUAAAAAUUUGGAUAGAUAAUUAAAUUAAAGAAGAAUAGAAAAAUGGAGGAAAUAAAAAAAGAAAAGAAAAAAAGUGGAUUAUCACAUCAUCAUCUUACCUCAUGCAUGAUGCAAUAAUUUCUAAAUUUUAAAAUUUGAUAUUAGGAGAUAAUUAUAACUUAAAAGACAAUUAAAAUAAAAUGAAAAUCAAUUUUUUUUUACUUGGUCUUCUUCAAGUGCCGUAGCCUUCUUCCUCACCUCUUUCUCUCUUUCCAUUUCCACCUCCAUUAAAGCUUGAAUACAAGCUUGAUUUCACUCAACAAAAUCCUAAAUUCCCCAAAAUUAAUCCAUAAAAACUUGUUAUAUUCACUUGAGGAGGCAUUAGAAGA
rnacentral:misc_RNA from 1 species